rnacentral:rRNA from 1 species
AGUGAACGCUGGCGGUAGGCCUAACACAUGCAAGUCGAACGGCAGCACAGGAGAGCUUGCUCUCUGGGUGGCGAGUGGCGGACGGGUGAGGAAUACAUCGGAAUCUACUCUGUCGUGGGGGAUAACGUAGGGAAACUUACGCUAAUACCGCAUACGACCUACGGGUGAAAGCAGGGGAUCUUCGGACCUUGCGCGAUUGAAUGAGCCGAUGUCGGAUUAGCUAGUUGGCGGGGUAAAGGCCCACCAAGGCGACGAUCCGUAGCUGGUUUGAGAGGGUGAUCAGCCACACUGGAACUGAGAAACGUUCCAGACUCCUACGGGAGGCAGCAGUGGGGAAUAUUGGACAAUGGGCGCAAGCCUGAUCCAGCCAUACCGCGUGGGUGAAGAAGGCCUUCGGGUUGUAAAGCCCUUUUGUUGGGAAAGAAAUCCAGCUGGCUAAUACCCGGUUGGGAUGACGGUACCCAAAGAAUAAGCACCGGCUAACUUCGUGCCAGCCGCCGCCGUAA